rnacentral:pre_miRNA from 1 species
UUCAUACUACCCUCCGUCCGAAAAUACUUGUCCUAGAGAUGAAUGUAUCUAGACUUAUUUUAAUUGUAGAUACAUCCAUUGUAUGCAUUUCUAGGCAUUUUUAGGAUAAGUAUUUCCGGACGGAGGGAGUAUUAA